GCUCCAAUAGCGUAUAUUAAAGUUGUUGCAGUUAAAACGCUCGUAGUCGGAUUUCGGGGCGGGGCCGCCGGUCUGCCGAUGGGUAUGCACUGGCGGUCGCGUCCUUCCUUCCGGAGACUGGCCUACUCUUAACUGAGCGGGGUCGGGGAGACGGAUCGUUUACUUUGAAAAAAUCAGAGUGUUCAAAGCAGGCCUUUGCC
rnacentral:rRNA from 1 species